AUUGAACGCUGGCGGCAUGCUUUACACAUGCAAGUCGAACGGUAACAGGUUAAGCUGACGAGUGGCGAACGGGUGAGUAAUGCAUCGGAACGUGCCCGAUCGUGGGGGAUAACGCAGCGAAAGCUGCGCUAAUACCGCAUACGGUCUGAGGAUGAAAGCGGGGGACCGUAAGGCCUCGCGCGAUCGGAGCGGCCGAUGUCAGAUUAGGUAGUUGGUGGGGUAAAGGCUCACCAAGCCAACGAUCUGUAGCUGGUCUGAGAGGACGACCAGCAACACUGGGACUGAGACACGGCCCAGACUCCUACGGGAGGCGGCAGUGGGGAAUUUUGGACAAUGGGCGAAAGCCUGAUCCAGCAAUGCCGCGUGCAGGAAGAAGGCCUUCGGGUUGUAAACUGCUUUUGUACGGAGCGAAAAGGCCCUCUCUAAUACAGGGGGCUCAUGACGGUACCGUAAGAAUAAGCACCGGCUAACUACGUGCCAGCCGCCGCGGUAA
rnacentral:rRNA from 1 species